GGCAGGGGACAAAAUGAAAAGCAAGACACCCUGGGGCUGGGGCAUGGGACACUGAGGGACUGUGUGUGUGAGCAAAGGACAGGAGGGGUGUGUGUGUGCCUGUGCAGUGGGGCACACCCAGCGGGGCAGGAUCCGUGGGCACACAUAGACCAGCGGGACAGUGGCAAAAGGGGAGUAUGGGACAGCCGCCGGCAUGUGCAUGUGGAUGUGUACAUGUAUGUGCAUGCACACG
rnacentral:lncRNA from 10 species